rnacentral:rRNA from 1 species
UACGGAAGGCAGCAGUGGGGAAUAUUGCACAAUGGGCGAAAGCCUGAUGCAGCUAUGCCGCGUGUAUGAAGAAGGCCUUAGGGUUGUAAAGUACUUUCAUCGGGGAGGAAAAAACAAAACUAAUAAUUUUAUUUCUUGACGUUACCCGAAAAAGAAGCACCGGCUAACUCCGUGCCAGCAGCCGCGGUAAUACGGAGGGUGCUAGCGUUAAUCAGAAUUACUGGGCGUAAAGAGCACGUAGGUGGUUUUUUUAAGUCAGAUGUGAAAUCCCUGGGCUUAACCUAGGAACUGCAUUUUGAAACUGAAAUACUAGAGUAUCGUAGAGGGAGGUAGAAUUCUAGGUGUAGCGGUGAAAUGCGUAGAUAUCUGGAGGAAUACCUGUGGCGAAAGCGGCCUCCUAAACGAAUACUGACACUGAGGUGCGAAAGCGUGGGGAGCGAAACAGGGAUUAGGAUACC